AGAAACUUAGGAUAACCAAACCAAAGGCCUUCAAAGCCUUAAAUAAGAGUUAAACCCUCUUAGUUUCUG
rnacentral:tRNA from 1 species